GAUCCCGCCAGAGGUUACUGCUAUCGGAGUUCGAUUAAGCCAUGCGAGUCUAAAGGUUUCUUUCGAGAAACCUUGGCGGACUGCUCAGUAACACGUGGAUAACCUACCCUUGGGACUGGAAUAACCCCGGGAAACUGGGGAUAAUACCGGAUAGAUCAGGGAUGCUGGAAUGCACCUUGAUCCAAAGCUCCGGCGCCCAAGGAUGGGUCUGCGGUCUAUCAGGUUGUAGUGGGUGUAACGUACCUACUAGCCGACGACGGGUACGGGUUGUGAGAGCAAGAGCCCGGAGAUGGAUUCUGAGACACGAAUCCAGGCCCUACGGGGUGCAGCAGGCGCGAAAUCUUUACAAUGUGCGAAAGCAUGGUAAGGGAACUCCGAGUGCCAGUAUCUAAUACUGGCUGUCCUUGUGCCUAAAACGCACAAGAUAGCGAGGGCCGGGUAAGACCGGUGCCAGCCGCCGCGGUAACACCGGCGGCCCGAGUGGUAGCCGCUAUUAUUGGGUCUAAAGGGUCCGUANCCGGUUCGAUAAGUCCUCUGGGAAAUCUGGUUGCUUAACAAUCAGACUGCCAAGGGAUACUGUCGAACUUGAGACCGGGAGAGGUAAGAGGUACUU
rnacentral:rRNA from 1 species